AAUGAACGCUGGCGGCGUGGUUAAGACAUGCAAGUCGAACGGUUUUCAUUGAAGGGCAACCGGAUAUGAAAGCAGUGGCGAACGGGUGCGUAACACGUGAACAAUCUACCUCCAAGUGGGGAAUAGCUCGCCGAAAGGCGAAUUAAUACCGCAUGUGGUGGUUUCUCGCAUGAGAGACUUACUAAAACAGGGACCGCAAGGCCUGUUGCUGGGAGAGGAGUUCGCGGCCUACAGCUAGUUGGCGAGGUAAC
rnacentral:rRNA from 1 species